GAUCUGGCUCAGGAUGAACGCUAGCUACAGGCUUAACACAUGCAAGUCGAGGGGCAGCAUUUUAGUUUGCUUGCAAACUAAAGAUGGCGACCGGCGCACGGGUGAGUAACACGUAUCCAACCUGCCGAUAACUCUGGGAUAGCCUUUCGAAAGAAAGAUUAAUACCGGAUGGCAUAGGAUUAUCGCAUGAUAAUCCUAUUAAAGAAUUUCGGUUAUCGAUGGGGAUGCGUUCCAUUAGG
rnacentral:rRNA from 1 species